GACGAACGCUGGCGGCGUGCUUAACACAUGCAAGUCGAACGGUAAGGCCCUUCGGGUACACGAGUGGCGAACGGGUGAGUAACACGUGGGUGAUCUGCCCUGCACUUCGGGAUAAGCCUGGGAAACUGGGUCUAAUACCGGAUAGGACCAUGGACUUCACGGUUUGUGGUGGAAAGCUUUUGCGGUGUGGGAUGGGCCCGCGGCCUAUCAGCUUGUUGGUGGGGUAAUGGCCUACCAAGGCGACGACGGGUAGCCGGCCUGAGAGGGUGUCCGGCCACACUGGGACUGAGAUACGGCCCAGACUCCUACGGGAGGCAGCAGUGGGGAAUAUUGCACAAUGGGCGCAAGCCUGAUGCAGCGACGCCGCGUGAGGGAUGACGGCCU
rnacentral:rRNA from 1 species